CAGUGGGAUCCUCCGCCGCAGUCGAACUAGGCGUCCUGGGUGGGUGUCCCUGUUUCCAGGCCACUGAACUCGGCUAUACCUGGUAGCCUGCUGGCAGCGAAGCCCGCAGUUAAGCACAGGCGCCCCCUCCACCUGGAAAGGACAGGCCAGGAGUCCAAGGAGUCGGUUACUUCCUUGCUAAGGACAGCAGGUGCGCCCAGGAAGUAAGACCUACCGCACAGGUACAGGAACCGACCGGUAGUGGAUACCUCCCAGCUGAAUCGAAGCAAGUCGUAUUUCUCAGCCUCAUCUCACCCUUCUUUAACAAAACAAAAAUAAAAACAAA